UGGUUUUAGCUUAAUUAAAGUGUCUGAGUUGCAGUCAGGUGAUGCAAGUUAGAGUUUUGCAGGCCUUC
rnacentral:tRNA from 1 species